CACCAAACAGGGUCAGGGGGAGUGUCUAACAACACACUAGGCUCGCUCGAGAUGAGCCAGGCCUGCGUAGAAUCGAUCAGCGGUGAUUGCCGUCCAAUGCAUGCCGGUUAGAUUUGUGACCUACUUGAUCCCGACUUGCUCUGACGUCAUGCAACGAUAGGCAA